AUGGGGAGCAGGACUGGUGGGAGAAGAGGGUAGGAUGGGAGAUCUGGGGACUUUGGAAAGGCUGUGGAGGGGCCAGGAGGCUUUGGGAGCCUCUCUGGGAGGCUGCAGGAGGGUUCUGGGAGGAUGGGGACACUGGGGAGGUGCUGGGGGACACUGGGGAGGUGCUGUGGGACAGAACAGGCUGCGGGAGGUGAAACCUGGAGCUGCGCUGGGAGGAAGAGUCGCUCCUGGAGCUCCCGCGUUGCUGUCAGGCAGGGGACAGAGCCCAAGGUGUUGGGAGCCAGAGCGGCUGCGUGGCUGUUUGUGGGGAGAUCCUGUGUGUAGGAGCAUUGUUUAGUUCUGGCUCUGAACUUGGCUGGAUUAUGGACUGGAUUCAUUUUUUUUUUCCUUUUUACGAGGCUGGGGAAGCGCUGAUUUGGGCUCUAUAGUCAUCCCAUGGGCGUAGGGAAGUAAUGGGGUGGUCGAGCUGGCCAAAUCCCAGGUUGGGUGUCUUGUGCGACUUCCCUGCUCCUACCCCAUAAUCCUGUGGGAGAAAUCACAGUCGCUCACAUCCCCCUCCUCUUUGGAGGGGCAACUUGGUGCCCUGGUGAUGGGCGAGCUCAUUUUUAAUAGAGUCUGUGAUCACUCUCGGUGAAAGGUACCAUUCAAUUCUCUAUUUCGUUGUGGUUUUUAGGCUGUGAAAUAAAAUAAAAACUUUUUCUUGCUA